UCUCGCGAUGGGUAAAUACCUCUCCGGAUUGGAUUAGUACAACUCUCGCGAUGAACCGGCCUCUUCCUUGGCCGUCGUUGACACAGGUUAGUCGUGCCACUCUUCCCAGGACUGGCCUUUCUAUCCUAAAAUGUGCUUUAAUGUUGUUUAAUUGUUGCGUAAACACUUCGUAAGGCACAUUAAGGCUCUGAUACGUUAGAUUAUGUAGUUUGAGGAUGCGGAUGGCUGUUUUAUAUGAGAGAAUAAAGCGUAGUAGAGGAGCUCCGUAUGAUGGGAGUUCUGAGGCAGAAGUUAGCUUAGCAGGCCGUGCAUGUGUUCAGAAAGAAAGAAUGUUUCCCCGGUAAAUGCAGUAGACUCGAUAUUCAAAGCUCUAUGUAUGUUUAGUUUUGUGUGAAAUAAGACUGAAUACUUCUGUUUGCCACGUUAACCACUGAAGCUCGGUUGUAUCGGAGGUACAUGGCAGUUGAAACAUGCUAACUCCCUCAGAGCUAGCUUGUGGCUAACAUGCUGUUUGUUUGUAACACAGUCUAGCUUACUUUGUGGCUGUUUGAUAUGUUGGGGGUUAAUGUUGAAAGUAUCACUAUUUAAGUUCAUAUAUUGGCUAGGGUUGUGACUUAGCCUGCUGUACUCAAUUAGCAUUAAGCUGGUCAUAGCCUAGCCUAAAUGCAUGCUAGUUUGAUGGAGCUCCACCACGAUACCAAGAUAGCAUAAGUGUGUUGAGAUGCCGUUGAUGCUUAUCUAACCUUUCAUGUUUUUAUUUACCUCCACAGAAACAACGGCCAUGUUCAGUACCAGCGCCAAAAUAGUGAAGCCUAAUGGCGAAAAGCCUGACGAGUUCGAGUCUGGGAUCUCCCAGGCUCUGCUCGAGCUGGAGAUGAACUCCGACCUCAAGGCUCAGCUGCGAGAGCUGAACAUCACUGCAGCAAAGG